rnacentral:rRNA from 1 species
AUUGAACGCUGGCGGCAGGCCUAACACAUGCAAGUCGAGCGGUAGAGAGGUGCUUGCACCUCUUGAGAGCGGCGGACGGGUGAGGAAUGCCUAGGAAUCUGCCUGGUAGUGGGGGAUAACGCUCGGAAACGGACGCUAAUACCGCAUACGUCCUACGGGAGACCGCAGGGGACCUGCGGGCCUUGUGCUAUCAGAUGAGCCUAGGUCGGAUUAGCUAGUUGGUGAGGUAAUGGCUCACCAAGGCGACGAUGCUUAACUGGUCUGAGAGGAUGAUCAGUCACACUGGAACUGAGACACGGUCCAGACUCCUACGGGAGGCAGCAGUGGGGAAUAUUGGACAAUGGGCGAAAGCCUGAUCCAGCCAUGCCGCGUGUGUGAAGAAGGUCUUCGGAUUGUAAAGCACUUUAAGUUGGGAGGAAAGGUCGUUACCUAAUACGUGACGAUUUUGACGUUACCGACAGAAUAAGCACCGGCUAACUCUGUGCCAGCAGCCGCCGUAACAC